ACGAACGCUGGCGGCGCGCCUAACACAUGCAAGUCGAACGGAGAUACCUGUUAGAUCCCUUCGGGGUGACGAUGGACUAUCUUAGUGGCGGACGGGUGAGUAACACGUGAGCAACCUGCCUUACAGAGUGGGAUAACGUUUGGAAACGAACGCUAAUACCGCAUAACAUUAACUUAUCGCAUGGUAAGAUAAUCAAAGAAAUUCACUGUAAGAUGGGCUCGCGUCUGAUUAGAUAGUUGGUGAGGUAACGGCUCACCAAGUCGACGAUCAGUAGCCGGACUGAGAGGUUGAACGGCCACAUUGGGACUGAGACACGGCCCAGACUCCUACGGGAGGCAGCAGUGGGGAAUAUUGCACAAUGGGGGAAACCCUGAUGCAGCGACGCCGCGUGAGGGAAGAAGGUUUUCGGAUUGUAAACCUCUGUCUUCAGGGACGAUAGUGACGGUACCUGAGGAGGAAGCUCCGGCUAACUACGUGCCAGCAGCCGCGGUAAUACGUAGGGAGCGAGCGUUGUCCGGAAUUACUGGGUGUAAAGGGAGCGUAGGCGGGACAGCAAGUUGAAUGUGAAAUCUAUGGGCUCAACCCAUAAACUGCGUUCAAAACUGUUGUUCUUGAGUGAAGUAGAGGUAGGCGGAAUUCCUAGUGUAGCGGUGAAAUGCGUAGAUAUUAGGAGGAACACCAGUGGCGAAGGCGGCCUACUGGGCUUUAACUGACGCUGAGGCUCGAAAGCGUGGGUAGCAAACAGGAUUAGAUACCCUGGUAGUCCACGCUGUAAACGAUGAUUACUAGGUGUGGGGGGGUCAACCUUCCGUGCCGGAGUUAACACAAUAAGUAAUCCACCUGGGGAGUACGACCGCAAGGUUGAAACUCAAAGGAAUUGACGGGGGCCCGCACAAGCAGUGGAGUAUGUGGUUUAAUUCGAAGCAACGCGAAGAACCUUACCAGGUCUUGACAUCCAACUAACGAGAUAGAGAUAUGUUAGGUGCCCUUCGGGGAAAGUUGAGACAGGUGGUGCAUGGUUGUCGUCAGCUCGUGUCGUGAGAUGUUGGGUUAAGUCCCGCAACGAGCGCAACCCUUGUCAUUAGUUGCUACGGUAAGAGCACUCUAAUGAGACUGCCGUUGACAAAACGGAGGAAGGUGGGGAUGACGUCAAAUCAUCAUGCCCCUUAUGACCUGGGCCACACACGUACUACAAUGGCUAUUAACAGAGGGAAGCAAUACCGCGAGGAGGAGCAAACCCCUAAAAAUAGUCUCAGUUCGGAUUGCAGGCUGCAACCCGCCUGCAUGAAGCCGGAAUUGCUAGUAAUCGCGGAUCAGCAUGCCGCGGUGAAUACGUUCCCGGGCCUUGUACACACCGCCCGUCACACCAUGAGAGUUGGCAACACCCGAAGCCAGUAGCCUAACCGCAAGGAGGGCGCUGUCGAAGGUGGGGUUGAUGAUUAGGGUG
rnacentral:rRNA from 1 species